rnacentral:rRNA from 1 species
GGACUACCGGGGUUUCUAAUCCUGUUUGCUCCCCACGCUUUCGCGCCUCAGCGUCAGUUGCGAGCCAGCGAGCUGCCUUCGCCAUGGGUGUUCCGAUCGAUAUCUACGCAUUUCACCGCUACACCGACCAUUCCACUCGCCUCUCCCGCACUCAAGGUCCCCAGUAUGAAAGGCAGUGUCCGGGUUGAGCCCUGAACCUUUCACCUCUCACUUAAAGACCCGCCUACGCGCUCUUUACGCCCAGUAACUUCGGACAACGCUCGCCCCCUACGUAUUACCGCGGCUGCUGGCAC